rfam:Drosophila busckii chromosome X sequence.
CAAAUAAUGAAUUUGGCAAGAUGUCGGAAUAGCUGAGAGCACAAAUAACAAAAUGCCAAUUAAUUUAUACAGCGGCUAUGCCUCAUCUAGUCAAUUGCAUUC